ACGCUCGACACCUACGGGAGGCUGCAGUCGGGAAUAUUGCGCAAUGGAGGAAACUCUGACGCAGUGACGCCGCGUGCAGGAAGAAGGUUUUCGGAUUGUAAACUGCUUUAGACAGGGAAGAAAAAAGACAGUACCUGUAGAAUAAGCUCCGGCUAACUACGUGCCAACAGCCGCGGUAAUCUGAGCGGGCUGGCAAGGC
rnacentral:rRNA from 1 species